GGGCUGGGCUCCUGUGCCUGCUGUACUGAUAAUCAGUGUGCGACGUCAGCUGGCUCAGUUCAGCAGGAACAGAGGACUGGUC
rnacentral:pre_miRNA from 10 species